rnacentral:lncRNA from 1 species
UGGCUUUUCUGACAUACUCCAUGCCUGACUUUGAGAAAGCCCUCAGCAGACAAGGGGAGGGUUUCCUGUGAUGGGAUCAGUCAGAUGCCUGCCUGGCCGCUCCCCCUGAGGGCACUUGGGCUCCUCUUAGCAUUGGCAGGCCGGUAUAAACUUCCGGCUCAGAUCAAGCUAUGCCUGAUGCUGCCUUAAGCCUCAUGAGGUCGCCACGGAACCGCAG